GACUUUGUAAUUGAAAUGACAAUAUUAAAUUGCAGAUUUAAAAGUACAUGUGUUAUAUGUUAAAGUCU
rnacentral:tRNA from 1 species